AACAGAUCGCUAGUGGCUAUGACGAGGAGUCGUCCGACUCUCCGGAAACGCCAGGCUGGCCAGGCAGCCCACAUCCACCAGCAGCCCGGCGCGUCGGCACGGCGAAUUGGUGCUCCUGUGGCAGCGUCUGCAGACCAAUGCAGACAGUCGAGGAGUCGGUGUGCUGCAGGGAGUUGCACAAUGUGGAGGCACCGCUACACUGCCUACCGGCAAUUCACUUGGU
rnacentral:lncRNA from 1 species